AACAAAUGCCCUGCUUCCAGGAAAAGCCUCUAAGCAUCAGGUAACAUCAAAUCGUACCCCAAACCGACACAGGUGGUCAGGUAGAGAAUACCAAGGCGCUUGAGAGAACUCGGGUGAAGGAACUAGGUAAAAUGGUGCCGUAACUUCGGGAGAAGGCACGCUGAUAUGUAGGUGAAGUCCCUUGCGGAUGGAGCUGAAAUCAGUCGAAGAUACCAGCUGGCUGCAACUGUUUAUUAAAAACACAGCACUGUGCAA
rnacentral:rRNA from 1 species